rnacentral:lncRNA from 1 species
AUGGCUGGUAAGAAACCAUCCAUAGAGAAUUUGUUCAACAUGGCAAAGACGCUGACUGGGAAAUUUCUAAGUGGCAUUUCUGAUCAAUUGAUGGAAAAUAGUUCAUUAGAUGCAGAAGAGUCAUGGAUUCUAGUAGAAGGUGUGAACUUCGUUCUGAAAAAUGCUGGAAACCUUCCUGAUAAUAACACUGAUACAGCUAAAGUGACAGAUAAAAUAUUUAGGGACCACCUACUAAACCCCCAAAACCUAUUGAGUUUAGGUGAAUAUUGUGGGGCUAAGAGCUAGUAACUCAUUCUUUCUGUUCUAUUCCUCUUACUUUUUGUCUUGUUUAUUUUUCCCUUCUCCAAAUGGAGAAUCAACUAUCCCCAUCUUAGGACCUUCUUCACCUAUCCUUUCCUUUCCUUUCCUUUCCCUUCCUUCCUUCCUUCCUUCCUUCCUUCCUUCCUUCCUUCCUUCCUUCCUUCCUUCCUUCCUUCCUUCCUUCCUCUUCCUCCUCCUCUCUCCCUCCCUCCCUCCCUCCCUUCUUUCCUUCCUUCCUUUCUUUCUCUUUCCUUCUUUCCUUCUUUCUUGGCAGAGUUUCGCUUGCUCUUGUCACCCGGGCUGGAGUGCAAUGGUGUGAUCUUGGCUCUAUUCAACCACUGCCUCCCUGGUGCAAGCAAGUCUCCUGCCUCAUCCUCCUGAGUACCUGAAUUUGCAGGAACCCUCCACCAUGCCUGCUAAUUUCGUUUUUGUUUUUUGGAGAUGGAGUGUCCCUC